UACGAAGGGGGCUAGCGUUGCUCGGAAUCACUGGGCGUAAAGGGCGCGUAGGCGGUCUUUUAAGUCGGGGGUGAAAGCCUGUGGCUCAACCACAGAAUUGCCUUCGAUACUGGGAGACUUGAGUUCGGAAGAGGUUGGUGGAACUGCGAGUGUAGAGGUGAAAUUCGUAGAUAUUCGCAAGAACACCGGUGGCGAAGGCGGCCAACUGGUCCGGACCUGACGCUGAGACGCGAAGGCGUGGGGAGCGAACGGG
rnacentral:rRNA from 1 species